GAUGAACGCUGGCGGCGUGCCUAAUACAUGCAAGUCGAGCGAACAGACGAGGAGCUUGCUCCUCUGACGUUAGCGGCGGACGGGUGAGUAACACGUGGAUAACCUACCUAUAAGACUGGGAUAGCUUCGGGAAACCGGAGCUAAUACCGGAUAAUAUAUUGAACCGCAUGGUUCAAUAGUGAAAGACGGUUUUGCUGUCACUUAUAGAUGGAUCCGCGCCGCAUUAGCUAGUUGGUAAGGUAACGGCUUACCAAGGCAACGAUGCGUAGCCGACCUGAGAGGGUGAUCGGCCACACUGGAACUGAGACACGGUCCAGACUCCUACGGGAGGCAGCAGUAGGGAAUCUUCCGCAAUGGGCGAAAGCCUGACGGAGCAACGCCGCGUGAGUGAUGAAGGUCUUCGGGUCGUAAAACUCUGUUAUUAGGGAAGAACAAAUGUGUAAGUAACUAUGCACGUCUUGACGGUACCUAAUCAGAAAGCCACGGCUAACUACGUG
rnacentral:rRNA from 1 species